UACGUAGGUGACAAGCGUUGUCCGGAUUUACUGGGCGUAAAGAGCGCGCAGGCGGUCGUUCAAGUCGAGUGUGAAAGCCCCCGGCUCAACUGGGGAGGGUCACUCGAUACUGAUCGACUCGAAGGCAGGAGAGGGUAGUGGAAUUCCCGGUGUAGUGGUGAAAUGCGUAGAUAUCGGGUGGAACACCAGUGGCGAAGGCGACUACCUGGCCUGUUCUUGACGCUGAGGCGCGAAAGCUAGGGGAGCAAACGGG
rnacentral:rRNA from 1 species